CUCCCAGUCAAUGAAAUUGAUCUCCCCGUGCAGAAGCGGGGAUAAUAACAUAAGACGAGAAGACCCUAUGGAGCUUAAGGCGCCAGGGCAGCUCACGUUAAACACCCCUAGUUAAAGGAAUGAACCAAGUGAACCCUGCCCCAGUGUUUUUGGUUGGGGCGACCGCGGGGAAAUACAAAACCCCCAUGUGGACCAGGAACACUACAU
rnacentral:rRNA from 1 species